rnacentral:RNase_MRP_RNA from 1 species
GCGUGACGGCAAGAGGAGCACUCGCAGCUACCCACCGGUCCCCGGUGACCGCCUGCGCUGUGAGCGAAAGUCCCUGGACCUGUGGCCGAAAGGGUCACCCCCUAGGGGAGAACCGUGAGGGAAUAGUCCCAGCAAAGUAACGCUCAGUACGCGAACAGCAUAGGGCUUACUCUGUCAGUCUCG